rnacentral:rRNA from 1 species
UGGGGAAUUUUGGACAAUGGGCGCAAGCCUGAUCCAGCCAUACCGCGUGAGUGAAGAAGGCCUUAGGGUUGUAAAGCUCUUUUGGCGGGGACGAUAAUGACGGUACCCGCAGAAUAAGCCCCGGCUAACUUCGUGCCAGCAGCCGCGGUAAUACGAAGGGGGCUAGCGUUGUUCGGAAUUACUGGGCGUAAAGCGCACGUAGGCGGAUUUGUCAGUCAGGGGUGAAAUCCCGAGGCUCAACCUCGGAACUGCCUCCGAUACAGCAAGUCUCGAGUCCGGAAGAGGUGAGUGGAAUUCCUAGUGUAGAGGUGAAAUUCGUAGAUAUUAGGAAGAACACCAGUGGCGAAGGCGGCUCACUGGUCCGGUACUGACGCUGAGGUGCGAAAGCGUGGGGAGCAAACAGGAUUAGAUACCCCAGUAGUCCCUGAGCGGGCUGGCAAGGCGCAU